CGCACCACCUUGCCGUCGCCGCUCCCUCACCCCGACGAAUCACUGCGCCGCACCACCCUCCCGCGGCACGCGACGCCGCGCUCAUCCUCCCGGCGCGCUCGAUGCCGCACCCUCCUCCCGACGGGACUCCCUCCUCCCGGCACCUCACCCUCUCCUUCCUCCCGACGGGGCUUCGUCCUCCUGUGCAGCUCGACGCUGCUCGUGCUCCUCGCGACCUCCUCCAGCGUCGGUGGCAAAUCCAGUUCAACUAUUUUAUGAUGAUUUGGCAGUGCGGCAUCUUCAUGUGUGUCCAGCUGAAAGGGGUCAGGUGUUUGAAGGGUAGUAGCUAGACCUCUUUUCAGUAAUGUGUACUAAUUUUUAUUUGAAUACCACUGUUCUGUGAAUGCUGAUGCUGCCCUGUCCUCUGUCUGCCACAUAACCUUAGGUUAAUAUCCGGAUGCCAUGUCAAAGCUUACAGAGACGGACCUCAAGUUUCUUUUUCCACAUCUAACUGCUGACAGAUAUGUACAGACAUUAGUAGAGAUGGGAGUUCUUCUAUUAGGACAUGAUAGGAGUAUGAUUUGCUUCUUUGCAGCAUACUAUGUGGUGUAUUAGUGAUAUACAUGAUGGACUUCUUGUUUCACGAAUUGUGAGGCCUGCCAUCGGCGUCUGAGCUCGCCAGUAGCUGUUGUCAACCUAUACUAAGAUUUCAAAUUAAAAAAAUCAUGGUGUUGAUGCAUUAAUGAUAGAUUCUGCAUCCAAACUGCAUCACUAACCUGUUCAAGCAAUCUCUUGACCCAUUAAUGACUACCGCCAGGGACAGCCUCGUGAGAUACAGAUCAAAGAUUCUUGUAGAGAUGGAUUGGCUGUGAUUAUCAUUCACUGAAGGCAAAUCUCUCAAUUAUUGGUUGGGAUUUAUUUUUCAAUAUCUGCUGUUUUACGCCCUUAUGUGGUGGCAUGGUUUCACUGCUGGGUCGACUGGAUCGACCCUGGUGCCGAUGCCAAUUACCAAUUAACGAGCUGUGGCAACGAGCAUACUUUCAACAACGUGCCAUGAGGAACCCAAUCUUUGCUGGCUUCAACCUGAACAGGCCCUGCAGAGCACCUUCGGUCCAGGUGCUGAACGCCAGGAGCCUUGGACCACAUCUUCUUGUGAAACAUCAGGUGCUCGUUCGUUUUCAUUUCCAACUGUGAUCCUGCUAAUAAUUUUAUUUUCACUCGUGCAUUAGAUGGGUACGGCAGCCUUCUUGAUAUUUAUAUUUAUAUUUUUUAAUUACAAGUUCAAGUUAUGCAGUAAAGGCUAGAUCAGAGUGUCGAUUCCAUGGUUUUCUUACUGAACUAUCUUUGAUUAGUUUAUCGAAAUCCUUUCAGUAUCACUUAUUAGAUUGCACCUAUUAGACUUUAGGCAAAAUGUAGUAGUAAUAGUCUAAUAUAUCUAUCAAACUACCUGUGGUUAGUUUUAUGAAAUCCUGAAAAUAUAUCUUCUUAGAUUGCACCUAUUAGACUUUUGGCAUAUUAUGGUACCACUUUAUUUGUAUAUGUAGGUGUUGAUAUUUCAGAUUUGAGAUUUAUGAUUGUUAUAGUAUAUGGUUGUCUUAGUACAAAUUCUUGCGGUACAAACAUUGCAGAUUAUUUAUUUUUGAGCUCUUUAACAUUUGGAAAUUAUUCCUGAACUUUGCAGUGCUCAUUUUUCUGGCAAAACCUGAGGCAGAGGUGAUUGUGUCACAUCAUUUGCUUAAUUUCAUAAUAAAUCCAGCCCCGAUUUAUAUGCAUAUUAAUGCUACUUAUUUCCCAGAGCUAUACUGCAUGCUAAUGUAUUUUUAGUUUGCCAUUAGCUCAUGCUAUCAGUGUUCUUUCUUAAAUAUUGGAAACACUCAUUGGUGCAAAUAUAACUUUUUCCUCUUGAGUCAACAUAUACUAGUUAGGAAUCACAACAUAGCAAUGCACCCCACUGAGGUGAUCUUUGUGCUGCAUUUCAGAUCAAGCAUAAGUUCUCUUUUUGUACAGUUUUUGCUGCAUUUCAGAUGUCGUAUCAGCUAUAGUUGAAGGCCAUAGGAAGCAGGUUGAUUGCUUGACGAUGACGCAGAUCAGCAAAACGAGGACUAAGCUUGA